CCUACGGGAGGCAGCAGUGAGGAAUAUUGGUCAAUGGGCGCGAGCCUGAACCAGCCAAGCCGCGUGAGGGAAGACGGUCCUAUGGAUUGUAAACCUCUUUUGUCGGGGAGCAAAAGACGCCACGCGUCGCGUUCUGAGAGUAUCCGAAGAAAAAGCAUCGGCUAACUCCGUGCCAGCAGCCGCGGUAAUACGGAGGAUGCGAGCGUUAUCCGGAUUUAUUGGGUUUAAAGGGUGCGCAGGCGGAAGAUUAAGUCAGCGGUAAAAUUGAGGGGCUCAACCUCGUCGAGCCGUUGAAACUGGUUGUCUUGAGUGGGCGAGAAGUAUGCGGAAUGCGUGGUGUAGCGGGGAAAUGCAUAGAUAUCGCGCAGAACUCCGAUUGCGAAGGCAGCAUACCGGCGCUCAACUGACGCUCAUGCACGAAAGUGUGGGGAUCGAACAGGAUUAGAUACCCCAGUAGUC
rnacentral:rRNA from 1 species